rnacentral:rRNA from 1 species
UACGAAGGGGGCUAGCGUUGCUCGGAAUCACUGGGCGUAAAGCGCACGUAGGCGGAUCGUUAAGUCAGGGGUGAAAUCCUGGAGCUCAACUCCAGAACUGCCUUUGAUACUGGCGAUCUUGAGUUCGGGAGAGGUGAGUGGAACUGCGAGUGUAGAGGUGAAAUUCGUAGAUAUUCGGAAGAACACCAGUGGCGAAGGCGACUCACUGGACAUGUAUUGACGCUGAGGUGCGAAAGCGUGGGGAGCAAACAGG